GGACUGUGGCUCUGCGGUAGAGUGCUUGUCUAGCAUAUGCGAGGUCCUGGGUUUGAUCCUCAGCACCA
rnacentral:tRNA from 1 species